GACGAACGCUGGCGGCGUGCUUAACACAUGCAAGUCGAACGGAAAGGCCCUGCUUUUGUGGGGUGCUCGAGUGGCGAACGGGUGAGUAACACGUGAGUAACCUGCCCUUGACUUUGGGAUAACUUCAGGAAACUGGGGCUAAUACCGGAUAGGAGCUCCUGCUGCAUGGUGGGGGUUGGAAAGUUUCGGCGGUUGGGGAUGGACUCGCGGCUUAUCAGCUUGUUGGUGGGGUAGUGGCUUACCAAGGGUUUGACGGGUAGCCGGCCUGAGAGGGUGACCGGCCACAUUGGGACUGAGAUACGGCCCAGACUCCUACGGGAGGCAGCAGUGGGGAAUAUUGCACAAUGGGCGGAAGCCUGAUGCAGCAACGCCGCGUGCGGGAUGACGGCCUUCGGGUUGUAAACCGCUUUCGCCUGUGACGAAGCGGGAGUGACGGUAAUGGGUAAAGAAGCACCGGCUAACUACGUG
rnacentral:rRNA from 1 species